rnacentral:rRNA from 1 species
GGCCGCGUCGACAUGUCAUUUAUUUGAAAGGGGCAAAUGCUCCACUACAAGAUGGACCUGCGUUGUAUUAGCUAGUAGGUGAGGUAACGGCUCACCUAGGCGACGAUACAUAGCCGACCUGAGAGGGUGAUCGGCCACACUGGGACUGAGACACGGCCCAGACUCCUACGGGAGGCAGCAGUAGGGAAUCUUCGGCAAUGGGGGCAACCCUGACCGAGCAACGCGCGUGAGUGAGAAGUUUACGGUAGUCGUAAGACUCUGUGUAAGUCAAGACGAGUAGUGAGAGUGGAAGUUACGACACUGUGACGGUAGCCGUCGACGCGGCGUUCGCUCGGUCGAGGUUCGCCCGACGUUCCAGGUACGUCGUAAUCCUGUUCGAGUCGUGGAGGCGAAGGCACGACAGGGAUAGG